rnacentral:lncRNA from 1 species
UCUCAUUAGAAGAUUACAUACGAAACAAAAUGAGUAAAUCUACACUUAAAUAUACAAUCGUAUAUAGUUCUUAUAUUAAGAAACGGGGGAGUAUAUACCAAGCGCAACCAUAAGGGUAAGGCCUUGUUUGGAAUGUCUCUUUUUGUCAAGUACAUUUGUAAAAAUAAUACACACCUCCAUUCAUCGGUUUAGUUUUGAGCCGGUUUUAUACUUAUGACCGGUAUAAUACCUAUGUAAAAUAUUACACUUGUAAAAAUAAAACGGCAUUCCAAACAGGC